UACGUAGGGACCGAGCGUUGUUCGGAUUUACUGGGCGUAAAGGGCGCGUAGGCGGCGUGACAAGUCAGUUGUGAAAUCUCCGAGCUUAACUCGGAACGGUCUAUUGAUACUGUUGGGCUAGAGUACAGAUGAGGCAAUCGGAAUUCUUGGUGUAGCGGUGAAAUGCGUAGAUAUCAAGAGGAACACCUGAGGUGAAGACGGGUUGCUGGGCUGAUACUGACGCUGAGGCGCGAAAGCUAGGGUAGCAAACGGG
rnacentral:rRNA from 1 species